AUCUUCGAAUCAGAUUGUUAUGGCUUCCGACCUGAUGGAAAGAUCGGCUGCGCCAGUUACAAAACUUCCACGGCAUUUGUCUUUAUAUGCAUGCUUGCAUGGCUGACAAGCGUCUUUUUUGGAGGCAUCCGUAUUGUUGAUGCUAAAUUCGAUAUCCGCUCCCUCAAAAAUCGCCUGCUCAACGUUGAGGCAUGGAGUCAAGAACAAGAAGUAAAAGGAGAAUAUCGAGA
rnacentral:sRNA from 1 species